AACAUAUAUACUAUAUAGGCCAACUCAUAUAUAUGAAACAAGUAACUCAUUAUUAAAUUCUAUGAAUACAGCAACAUAAUGAAUGUACACUUGUACAGUGGAUAUAAGAUGGUCCAUAUUCAUAAUGAUGAAUGUAUAUAAGAAGUAUCCAUCGAUUGCUUGAGAGCCAAGGAAACGUGGACUGGUAUUUCCUUGUCAUCGUCGUCCAUGUCUCAUGAAAUGACACGUUGACGUUGGUCAAAGUGACGGCGGCUGCUGGGCAGAUUUGGAGGUAGGUAAUAGUAGAAUGUCUGCCACUUUCGUCUCUCAUCAUCCAAUUUCAUAUUUCACAUGAAAUUUGAACAUACGUUUAAUUCACUAACAAAUGGCUGAUUAUUUUAAAACAUAUAACAAUAUAGAAUGAAACCACACAUAAAGAGCAUCCGGACUUAAAAUUAUAACUAGUUAUAACCAAGAAGAGUAAGGAACACAAAAGAGAAAAAUGACAGUUAG
rnacentral:lncRNA from 1 species